CAAUGUCGGUGCUGAUUGUCU
rnacentral:snRNA from 1 species